AAUUGUUUGGUCUGGUUUGGGUUGGCUUCGCUGAAAAUUGCUUUUCUUCACCGCAUAUUUUGAACGCACGAAAUUUAUAAAUCAAACGCAAGGCCCCACUGUUUCCGAUUUUCUUUAACAACUACACAAUAAAGUACAUGAUGUUUAUCUCUUUCAAUUUUCUUUGAAAUAAACAUUUCCCAGCACAUAUACUUAAGAAAAAACAUGACGACACGUACAUGACGGCCCGCGGCCUUCCCAUAGCAAGUGGCAGGAAACCAUUUUCUUUGUGUAGGUUUUAUUUCAAGAAUUUGCAUAAUAAGAAUCACACCUCUGUGGUGCAAUCUGAGGCAAUUUUGAACACUUAAAAAAAACAGUUGAGGCAUCGUAAAGAGACGAUACCCGUACAGUUACUGGUACAAACUUUCUUUCUUUUCGGUUUUUUUUUUUUUUUUUUUUUUUUAAACAAACACACACGCACACAGACCCACCCAGACGGUGGCCUACAAAUAGAAUGCCCAUCUUGUCCAUGAUCAUGAUCUAUAAAUUAUUGCAUAGUAUAAGUUAUAGAGCAAAGACCAAGUAAUGUUCUAACGACCCAAGGAGUUCGAAAUUCCCGGGCCAUAAAAUGCAGCCAAUUAGCGUUAUCUCUAACCCCAUACACAAGGCACAGCGACUAUGCUCCAACCAUCCAACCAACAAAACAACACCGGAUCUGCGUUGCGUAACAUACAUCACACCUUCCAGCACCCCGUCAAUAAACAGUCGGACCAAUCCUGGCGUGAGGCGCCAGAAUUGAAAUCCAUGUCAGGCUUUCAGCUCGAACCAUGGAGGAAGUUGCCUGAAUAUGGACAAGAAGAUUAUUAAGCAGUCAAGAAAGCUUCAAACGAGGGGAAAGUGAUGAAAUGUGGAGGAUGACUGGAGAAUACGAGAUUUCAGGCGGAUCCAGGGUUCUGUUUUCUCCAGACACCUAUGACAAUAAAGUGCCGGCACAUCACAAACGUCUUCAGCUUCAACAUGCAGAUAUGAUGUCGAUGGUAAAAGCCUUCUGGAGGAAAGAUGGUUUCCAUGCCACUUUAUAUUCUGAUGACGAGUAUGCUUGUUGAUGGCCACAUCGUUGUCCGUAUCUUUACUCAAGAUAUCCCUGACGAAGAUCGGGUGGUAGAUCUGACAAAGAGUGGCGAAGCAACUCUUGCUGCACGGCGGGAGUCAAACGGCAGACAAAAUGUCGUUGACGUACAGCCACAAGAGGUUUUUAGAGGCAGCUGAAGGUCAAAGUGGCUGCCCUCAUGCAGGUGAGGGCAGAGGAGGAAAGCCAGAGCGAGGACAAUGGCAGCACCUCAUUGAAAGACAGUCUUUGUAACCAUAAGCAUUAAUGGGCAGUCUAUCGUAAUUAUUCACUACUAAGUAUGUUCAGCAUGACUAUAAGCGUACCCAUUUUUAUCAGAGUCCAGAAGUGUGGCUACUGAAAAAUAUCUGAAAAUUAAUCGUAAGAGAUAGAUACCUGUAUUGCAGUGGGAAGUUUUGAUACAUUGGUGAAUCCAUGGUAUAGAUUUACAUGUAAUACUAAUCAUGCUUGGCAUGAAGUAGACAUAGGCCUACCAAUGUCAUCAGUCCGCAAAUGUGGCAGCUAAAAAUAUGAUAAUAUGAACAUUAAUCGUAUGAGAUACAUACCCGUAUAGAUGAUCAUAUGAAGUGUUUUAAUUGAAGGCCAUUCUUUUGUCAAUUUGUGACAAAAAAUGGCCUUUUCUGAUUUUCAGAGCUUAAUUACUUCUUGUUAACUGCUGAUUCAUCUGGGGCCAAUUUCAUAGAGCUGCUUAAGCACAAAAUUU
rnacentral:lncRNA from 1 species